UACAGAGGGUGCGAGCGUUAAUCGGAAUUAUUGGGCGUAAAGAGCGUGUAGGCGGCCAGGUAGGUCAGCUGUGAAAACUCGAGGCUCAACCUCGAGACGUCGGUUGAAACCACCUGGCUAGAGUCCGGAAGAGGAGAGUGGAAUUCCUGGUGUAGCGGUGAAAUGCGCAGAUAUCAGGAAGAACACCCGUGGCGAAGGCGGCUCUCUGGGACGGUACUGACGCUGAGACGCGAAAGCGUGGGGAGCGAACAGG
rnacentral:rRNA from 1 species